rnacentral:rRNA from 1 species
GAUGAACGCUAGCGGCAGGCCUAAUACAUGCAAGUCGAACGGUGUAGCAAUACACAGUGGCGCACGGGUGCGUAACACGUAUGCAACCUACCUUACAUUGGGGGAUAGCCUUUCGAAAGGGAGGCUAAUACCGCAUAAGACAGUAACUGGGCAUCUAGUAGCUGUUAAAGAUUUAUCGAUGUAAGCUGGGCAUGCGUCCAAUUAGUUAGUUGGCGAGGUAAUGGCUCACCAAGACGAUGAUUGGUAGGGGAACUGAGAGGUCAAUCCCCCACACUGGCACUGAGAUACGGGCCAGACUCCUACGGGAGGCAGCAGUAGGGAAUAUUGGGCAAUGGGCGCAAGCCUGACCCAGCCAUGCCGCGUGCAGGAAGAAGGCGUUAUGCGUUGUAAACUGCUUUUAUACAGGAAGAAACGACCCUUGCGAGGGGCAUUGACGGUACUGUAUGAAUAAGCACCGGCUAACUCCGUGCCAGCCGCCGCCGUAACAC